AUCUGGCUGACGAGUCACAAAUAGGACGAAACGCGCUUCCUGGAU
rfam:Schistosoma mansoni strain Puerto Rico chromosome 2, complete genome